GGGUAACCCGCAAGGGAGCCAGCCGCCGAAGGUGGGGUAGAUGAUUGGGGUGAAGUCGUAACAAGGUAGCCGUAUCGGAAGGUGCGGCUGGAUCACCUCCUUU
rnacentral:rRNA from 1 species